CCCUUAGAUGUUCUGGGCUGCACGCGCGCUACACUGAUGCGCUCAACGAGUUUACGAACUUGCCCGGAAGGGUUGGUUAAUCUUUUUAAAACGCAUCGUGAUGGGGAUAGAUUAUUGCAAUUAUUAAUCUUCAACGAGGAAUUCCUAGUAAGCGCGAGUCAUCAGCUCGCACUGAUUACGUCCCUGCCCUUUGUACACACCGCCCGUCGCACCUACCGAUUGAAUGGUCCGGUGAAAUCUCGGGACGGCGGCUUGGUCGCUUGCGUCCGACUGCUGAAACUUGAUUAAACCAUAUCAUUUAGAGGAAGGUGAANUCGUAACA
rnacentral:rRNA from 1 species